rnacentral:lncRNA from 1 species
CGUCCGGUUGACGCAUAUAGCUAUAGUAGCGGUUGUUGCAUAUAUACUUCUAGUUCUUUCUUUACGGUUGUCUUGCUACUAUAGUUUUGAUAUCCUUGUAUGCUUGCAGUUGUACAUUACAGUAGCGGUAGUUGUGCUUUCAUAUAUAUAUCUCAUUCGUUCAUUAUCGUUGCUACUGUAUUUUACUUACCCAUACUGUCGUUUAUCUCUUCCUGAUCCGGUGAGUACUCCUCGCCUUCUUCGGCUUGCGGUACCCACUGGGAGGGGAGACAUGUUUAUAUGUUCUCACCUCCCCCACCAUUUUUCAGGUAUUGCAGGCGUUGAGUUUUGGGACGAGACGUGAGGUACGUUCGUAGCGGUCGAUAGAGCUUCCGACCCAGGUUAUCGGUUUAGUUUUAUCCCUAGUAUUCUGUGUUAUAGCUUAGUCAGUUUAUAUGGUUCUGUAUUUUUAUUACAUUGGAAUAUGUGGACUUUCAUGAAUGUAAUAAAAGGAUUUCUGGAUUUGGUAAAAUAAAAGGUUUUCUACCCCUCGUGGUAGCUUGUAUAAAAGAUAAAAGUUCUCGCGUAUGGAACAGUUUUCAAAAGGUUUUUCGUGGACUUUUGUUUAAACAUCGAAUGUAAAACUACGGUGUGAAUGGUGAAUGUAUGAAUGUAUAGCUAUCUGUAUAUUCAUUUAGUUGUGGUUGUAUACCGUUUGUACUUUUGUACUUGUGCAACGCCGUGCAAAUACAGGGGAGACUCUGUCCGUGUGAACAGUGGAUU